CCCCCGUUCUCCCCAAUUAACCCGCGAUAUUUCCCCCCGAAAAAUUUCCCUAAAAUCGCCGCACCCCCCAAAAAUCUCCCCAGCCCUCGAAUCUUCAUCGUCGAAGUCUGACCGCGGCCGUCGGCCAACGUGCCUUUCGUCCACCGGCACUCUCGCCCUCCCCCACCGCCUUCAUCUUUGCCGGCACUCUCGUCCACCGACUCUCGCCGGGGAUCUUGCUUCACCGCCUCCUCCUCCACCGCCUCUCGAUUCCACCGCAUCCUCCUCCACCGCGUCCUCCUCCACCGCACUCUCGUCCACUAUUUUUAUGGGGCAAUUUUUUCUUUUUUGUUUUUUUUUUUUUUUUUGUUUUUUUUUUUGGUUUUUUUUUUUUUUUUUGGGUUUUAAGGCUAAAGCUUUGAUGGGUUUAUGAUGUUUAGGAUGUUUAUGCUCUGCCCACAUCUUGAUGAGAAGCAGAGGAUGAGGCUGAGCAGGGAUUUGGGGUUGGAACCAAAACAGAUCAAGUUUUGGUUUCAAAAUAGGAGGACCCAAAUGAAGUUAACAUUUUUUAACUUACUGUCUUCAACUAUUUUUGUGUUUUUUUGGAGAAAGUUUUGUUAGAUUUGGGUAUGAGAACAAAAAAGGGGCCUUUUAGGUUUCUGCUAUCAAGGUUUAAAAAAAAGAUUAUUACCAUUGUUGUGUUUCUAAGUUAGAUUGGUGAUAUUUUCUUUGAUGUAGGCACAACAUGAGAGGCAAGAUAACUGCUCUCUUCGUGCGGAAAAUGAUAAGAUCAGAUGCGAGAACAUUGCAAUGAGAGAGGCUUUGAAGAACAUAAUCUGCCAAAUUGCGGAGGACCUCCAGUAAAUGAAGACUCCUAUUUUGAUGAGUAGAAGCUUAGAAUGGGGAAUGCUAGAUUAAAAGAAGAGACUUAAUGACAGGAUUUUUUCAAAGCCCGGGCAUCAUUUUUUAGGCCCUGAUACCCGAGUUGAGGCCUCGAGUGAUUCUGGUGUUGUGUUCAUGAGCCUUGUGGCUUUGGUUGAUAUGUUCAUGGACUCGGUUAAGUGGAUGAAACUAUUUCCAACUAUAGUUUCUAAUGCAAGAAACAUAUAUACUUGGACAACCUAUUGCUCAAGGUUUGUCACGGGAGAAUCUUACUAAGAUAUUUGCAGAAUUAAGGCGUUUGGGCUUGUCCCAGGAGGACAUUCUUCGAGGAAUUUCUUAUGUUCCUUGACUGGAUGGAUCAGGCCACUCCUAUCUUAUAUUUUGGACGUAUGAGUCAUUUUGGAUAUUGGAGACAUAUAUAAUAUUGGAUGUUUUUCAUUGUGAGAUAUUGAGUAAUCAUUGUGUAUGUAUAUGUUUUUUCUCUAAUAUUAUAUGUUGAGUAAUCAUUGUGUAUGUAUAUAUAAUAUUGGAUAUUUAGCAUCGUUUGAGACGUAUAUAUAACACUGGAUAUAUAGCACUGUUUUGAGACA